rnacentral:rRNA from 1 species
GACGAACGCUGGCGGCGUGCUUAACACAUGCAAGUCGAACGGUGAAGGGGCCUGCUUUUGUGGGUCCUGGAUGAGUGGCGAACGGGUGAGUAACACGUGAGUAACCUGCCCCCUUCUUCUGGAUAACCGCAUGAAAGUGUGGCUAAUACGGGAUAUUCUGGGUCUGUCGCAUGGUGGGCCUGGGAAAGAUUGCGCUUUUUUGGUGUUUUUGGUGGGGGAUGGGCUCGCGGCCUAUCAGCUUGUUGGUGGGGUGAUGGCCUACCAAGGCGGUGACGGGUAGCCGGCCUGAGAGGGUGGACGGUCACACUGGGACUGAGACACGGCCCAGACUCCUACGGGAGGCGGCAGUGGGGAAUAUUGCACAAUGGGCGCAAGCCUGAUGCAGCGACGCCGCGUGAGGGAUGGAGGCCUUCGGGUUGUGAACCUCUUUCGCCAGUGAAGCAGGCCUGCCUCGUUUGUGGGUGGG